rnacentral:rRNA from 1 species
UACGGGGGGGGCAAGCGUUGUUCGGAAUUACUGGACGUAAAGGGCGCGUAGGCGGCCUGCUAAGUCGGAUGUGAAAUCCCUCGGCUCAACCGAGGAACUGCAUCCGAUACUGGCGGGCUUGAAUCCGGGAGAGGGAUGUGGAAUUCCAGGUGUAGCGGUGAAAUGCGUAGAUAUCUGGAGGAACACCGGUGGCGAAGGCGGCAUCCUGGACCGGUAUUGACGCUGAGGCGCGAAAGCUAGGGGAGCAAACGGG